AUAACUUGCAAGCGUUUGAGAAAACCUUAGUGUUACUUCGCGCCACGUUGCUGUUACCAAGGUCUUAUAUAACCUUGGGCGGUGCACAGGUGUUUGCACUCAGUAUUCCGGCGAACUUGAGCGCGGGUGUAGCUGGGAUAUGUAGUCCGCGCCGGCACGGUGGCUGCGAAUUCGCCGUGGCGUAACAAAUUUAUGCAAAACUACAGUCUGAAAUAAAGAUGUCUUCAAUUAAAAUGCUAAAUUUAGAUAAAAAUUCAAUAUGAUGUUGUAUUAAAGAAAAGCAGAGAUGAGCGCUUACAUUUACUACAUAGCGUUUGUGAAUGAGAGAACUAAGAUGUUCUGUGUCAUAACAGUAUCCUGUCGUAUAGGAUUGACUGAGAAAAAACCCUGUGAUUUUUGAAGAUAGAUUACACGCUAAAGUAAUACAGCUGCUUAGAUCUACUGCUUGUGGGAUGUUAAGAUGAGCAGAAAUGACUCCAGUGACAGAAAUGACUAGGCUACAGAGAAAGCAUGUAAUAAGAAGCAUGGCUUUUCCCAAUAAAACCAACCAAAUUACAUCAAAAUUUAAACAUUCUAAGUUUAAAAACAAGUUAGCUUAGCUUACCUCUUCUCUCGUUCUCUUAAGAGAACAGUGGGACUCGUCUCAGUCAUCUUUUUUUGAGGUAGGCCGAUGAAUUUAGCAACUGACAAAUAAAUGUCUCUCAUGGUCUCCAGUCAGUUUUCAGAAACCUGUGCCACUCUCCCUCUCUAGGAAAUGGUGAGAAACAACACUGCUAGCAUUCACCUCUUUGUAUACUAAUGGGUUUGCUUUGCAGCUAAAUCAACUAUGACAAAAGAAUGAAGUUCUCUGAUUUAAUUUAGUAUUUCAUGGUAUUUGCACAUUAAUAAGAUUAAAAUUGAAUCCAAACAAUUAUCCAGUUAAACAAUCCAAAAUUAGUCAGUGAUGGACUUUAACAUGAAAAUGAUACAAAAAAGCUGGAUUUUACAUGGGAUGGGAGGAGAUUGUCCUUUUUAUAUAAAAUAAUAAUUAGUGGAUUUGCACUAAUGUGUAUGAAAUUAAUUUUCAGUUUUCAGUCAAACCCACCCUUCCACACACUCACCGACUUCCAGUGAAGCCAUGCAUCAAUUAAUUCCUAUGAACAGGGCAUUAAGCAAACUCCAUUCAAAGGAGAAACUGUACUUUAAAAAUUAAAAUAGCAAAAAAAAAGCAUUUUCGGUGUUCGGCCGAAUAAGUGAAAAGGCUGAAUAAAUUUGAACGAACAAUGACGUGUUUGAUGACGCGACCAAAUAGCCUAGCAACCAGAGUGAGCCGCACGAAGCUUUAAUUGCAGUAAACAUGUUGGCAGUGUGGAAGCAUUUUAAAGUGUCAGAGAAAGAUGUAAGAAGGGCCGUUAAAGAAGUACGCAUAUGCCUAGGACAAUUAUUCAUUAGUUGUGGGUCCAUCCACUUUUUUACACUCUUGUCGAUGCACUUUUUUGUUGUAGGCUGCAGAGUGUUCUAAGGCUGCACGAUUAUGGCUAAAAUGAUAAUCCCGAUUAUUUUUAUCAAUAUUGAGAUGUCGAUUAUUUGUUGGUGAUGACCUUUUUUGACCUGGACCUGACACAAUAAAUACGAUUGAUAAUGAUAUUGACCUUUGACCUCUACAUAGAGAGUAAUAAUAUGUAUCUUUUUGACCUUUGACCUAGACCUGUCAAAAAUAAGGUUACAAUAUAUACCAACUAUUCCUCUCUCUAAUGUUUGAUAAUGAGCCCAUAAGCUGGAACUGAUAUGUUAGGAGUAGCAAAAACCUGAAAGUCUACAGGAUGGUUGGCUUCAAAGACUGGAGUUAAAAAAAUAAAUAAAUAAAAAUCCUGGUCUUAAGCACUCAUUGGAAAUGGACACCUUGUUAAAUAGUAAAAUCCGACAGCAGUUAAAUUAUAAAGAUUUGCAUCUCUUCACCAUGGAUAGCAGAUUAGCACCAGAAUCCCAGGAAUAUAGCGAUGUUGAAGAGAAUGACCUCAGCUGUAUGGCUGGGCCCAAUGAUGCUGUACCUCCUGGUAGUGGAAAAGUGGAAAUGAUGCAGAUGUUGACAGUGAGGCGCAGUUAGGGUCAAGUGUGCAAAAAAAGCGAGGACGCCACCACCACUGUACUUCCCCUGUUCCAGAUAGUGAGUCAGAUAAUGAUGACAGAGAAAAGGACAGAAGAACAAAAAAGAAUACAGCUUCCCCAGAAUCCACAUUUAGAGAUCCAAAUAAUGAUCCACCACAAAACAAGAAAAAAAAAAACAUGGAGUGAAGAAGAAAAAGAGGCGGUACUUGAGCAAAUACUUGACUCUCAGUAGGAUACCAGUCAAAAAAGAGUGUGAUUGAUGUCUUGCAUCUGAACCAAACCUAAAAAAAAGAUCAUGGACGGAUGUAAAAAAAUUCAUAUCCAAUUCUAUACAGACUAAGAAAAACAAAGUACUCAGGCAGAGCAAAUAUUAGAACAAUAGAGGUAAAAUUAGCUCUUGUUCUGACAUACUAAAUGUUAAUGUUCUGACAGCAAAAGUGCUAAUGUUAAGAGCUAAAAUGUACUGCUAAAUAUUAAAAUUUUUCUUUUCAUUUUUGAUGCAUAUUCUCAUAGUGGCCUUUUCAGUUUUUAUGCAAUGGAAAGUUGCAGUAAUUUUAAAACUUUGCACCAAAUGUGUUCAUUUGCACUACAGAGAUGGCAUCAUGGCCUUUUAAGUUCCUUUGUUACAGAUAUGCUAAUAUUUUUGCACUAUGAGUUAAAUUAGUGCCAAAGAGUUGGAUCAUGGUCAUAUUGUCUAUUUGCCCUGAAUUUCUUUGCAAGAAAAUGCACAAAUUUUACUCCUGUACUUUUCAGACUAAAAUGGAACUGC